UGGAUGAGUUGUGUUUAGGGGUGAAAGGCCAAUCAAGCCGGGAAAUAGCUGGUUCUCCGCGAAAACUAUUGAGGUAGUGCCUCGGAUGUUUUCCUAUGGGGGUAGAGCACUGGAUGGGCUAGGGGGUCCCACAGACUUACCAAACCUAACCAAACUCCGAAUACCGAUGAGUAAUAUCUGGCAGACACACUACGGGUGCUAAGGUCCGUAGUGGAAAGGGAAACAGCCCUGACCGCCAGCUAAGGUCCCUAAGUUAUGGCUAAGUGGGAAAGGAUGUGAGAGUGCAUAGACAACCAGGAUGUUGGCUUAGAAGCAGCCAUCAUUUAAAGAAAGCGUAACAGCUCACUGGUCUAAAUAAGGGUUUCUGCGCCGAAGAUGUAACGGGGCUCAAGCCACGAGCCGAAGCUUAGGGUGUGCGCAAGCACGCGGUAGCGGAGCGUUCU
rnacentral:rRNA from 1 species